rnacentral:rRNA from 1 species
UUCCGAGACGAGGUGCUGCAGUGGCUGUCGUCAGCUCGUGCCGUGAGGUGGUUAGGGUUAACGUCCCGUAACGAGCGCCUAACCUUGUCCUUAGUUACCAGCACGUUAUGGUGGGCACUCUAAGGAGACUGCCGGUGACAAACCGGAGGAAGGUGGGAUGACGUCAAGUCAUCAUGGCCCUUACGGCCUGGGCUACACACGUGCUACAAUGGUCGGUACAAAGGGUUGCCAAGCCGCGAGGUGGAGCUAAUCCCAUAAAACCGAUCGUAGUCCGGAUCGCAGUCUGCAACUCGACUGCGUGAAGUCGGAAUCGCUAGUAAUCGUGAAUCAGAAUGUCACGGUGAAUACGUUCCCGGGCCUU